CACACUGCUGUCUCCCACUCCUCGCCCCUCUUGCUUCCUUGAGAAAGUAUUUUAUUGUAUAAUAGGAAGGCAGCGAAGUACAGAAGGAUUUUACCUACACCCUCAGUCCCCAUCCAGGAUUCUAGGUUUGGGGAGAGUAAGCAAGUAAUUUUUUUAAAGCACUACGACUGGGCUUCCUGUGGGUAGCCUGUAGUCCCAGCUGCUUGUUACCUGAAAGAGGAAUUCCUGUUUCCAGGAAUGGGUGGAAAAUAAGAAAGCUGUAGCCUGACUUAAGGAACUGCAGGAGCAACAGAGAAGUCUUGAAUAUGAAGUAUCUUCGUGGAUAUAUGCAAGAGGCUUGGGCCCUAACUAAGAACAAGAAGAACUCGUGAAUAUUUAAAUGGAUCCAUCAAAGACAGACGCUAUCAGUGAUACAUUUAUUCCUCAUCACUGAAAGUCCUUCUCUCAUGUAAACCCAUUUGAAUGAGACUCACUUCUACAAUAAAGAUGGAGGAGAGCCCAGUAUACUGAGUUUUAGUUCCUAUCACCUUGGCAGAAUCUGAGCUGCUAAUGGAAAUUGAAUUCAAGCUAUGGAGAAGUUCUCGCAUGAGACAUGGGGUCACUGAGCUCACUGUGACAUGAUUCCUUCCUAGAGGAUUCAGGACAAUGAAUAAAUUAUGAUCAUCCAUAGUUUUAAGCAAA